GAUGAACGCUGGCGGCGUGCCUAAUACAUGCAAGUCGAGCGAAUGGAUUAAGAGCUUGCUCUUAUGAAGUUAGCGGCGGACGGGUGAGUAACACGUGGGUAACCUGCCCAUAAGACUGGGAUAACUCCGGGAAACCGGGGCUAAUACCGGAUAACAUUUUGAACCGCAUGGUUCGAAAUUGAAAGGCGGCUUCGGCUGUCACUUACGGAUGGACCCGCGUCGCAUUAGCUAGUUGGUGAGGUAACGGCUCACCAAGGCAACGAUGCGUAGCCGACCUGAGAGGGUGAUCGGCCACACUGGGACUGAGACACGGCCCAGACUCCUACGGGAGGCAGCAGUAGGGAAUCUUCUGCAAUGGACGAAAGUCUGACGGAGCAACGCCGCGUGAGUGAUGAAGGCUUUCGGGUCGUAAAACUCUGUUGUUAGGGAAGAACAAGUGCUAGUUGAAUAAGCUGACACCUUGACGGUACCUAACCAGAAAGCCCCGGCUAACUUCGUGCCAGCCGCCGCCGUAA
rnacentral:rRNA from 1 species